rnacentral:misc_RNA from 1 species
UGUGGGAGCGAGCCUGCUCGCGAAAGCGGUGUUGCUGACACAUUGAUGCUGAAUGUGCCAAUGCCUUCGCGAGCAGGCUCGCUCCCACA